rnacentral:rRNA from 1 species
ACGUAGGGGGCAAGCGUUGUCCGGAAUCAUUGGGCGUAAAGCGCACGUAGGCGGCCCGGUAAGUCCGUUGUGAAAGUCAGAGGCUCAACCUCUGGAGGCCAAUGGAUACUGCCGGGCUAGAGUCCGGAAGAGGCGAGUGGAAUUCCUGGUGUAGCGGUGGAAUGCGCAGAUAUCAGGAGGAACACCAAUAGCGAAGGCAGCUCGCUGGGACGGUACUGACGCUAAGGCGCGAAAGCGUGGGGAGCGAACAGGA